UUUUGUUUUUGUUUUGUUUUUAU
rnacentral:sRNA from 1 species